rnacentral:tRNA from 1 species
GCCGGCGUAGCUCAGUCUGGUAGAGCAACGCACUCGUAAUGCGUAGGUCGGUGGUUCGAGUCCACUCGCCGGCA